rnacentral:rRNA from 1 species
UUGAACGCUGGCGGCAUGCCUUACACAUGCAAGUCGAACGGUAACAGGUCUUCGGAUGCUGACGAGUGGCGAACGGGUGAGUAAUACAUCGGAACGUGCCCGAGAGUGGGGGAUAACGGAGCGAAAGCUUUGCUAAUACCGCAUACGAUCUACGGAUGAAAGCAGGGGACCCUCGGGCCUUGCGCGAACGGAGCGGCCGAUGGCAGAUUAGGUAGUUGGUGGGAUAAAAGCUUACCAAGCCGACGAUCUGUAGCUGGUCUGAGAGGACGACCAGCCACACUGGGACUGGGACACGGCCCAGACUCCUACGGGAGGCAGCAGUGGGGAAUUUUGUCCAAUUGGCGAAAGCCUGAUCCAGCAAUGCCGCGUGCAGGAUGAAGGCCUUCGGGUUGUAAACUGCUUUUGUACGGAACGAAAAGUCUCGGGAUAAUACCCUGGGACCAUGACGGUACCGUAAGAAUAAGCACCGGCUCACUACGU